rnacentral:rRNA from 1 species
AUCCUGCCCGUAGUCAUAUGNUNGUUUCAAAGANUAAGCCNUGCAUGUGUAAGUAUAAGCGAUUGUACUGUGAGACUGCGAACGGCUCAUUAUAUCAGUAAUAAUUUCUUCGGUAGUUUCUUUUAUAUGGAUACCUGCAGUAAUUCUGGAAAUAAUACAUGCUGUAAGAGCCCUGUAUGGGGCUGCACUUAUUAGAUUGAAGCCGAUUUUAUUGGUGAAUCAUGAUAAUUGAGCAGAUUGACUUUUUUGGUCGAUGAAUCGUUUGAGUUUCUGCCCCAUCAGUUGUCGACGGUAGUGUAUUGGACUACGGUGACUAUAACGGGUGACGGAGAGUUAGGGCUCGACUCCGGAGAGGGAGCCUGAGAGACGGCUACCAUAUCCAAGGAUAGCAGCAGGCGCGUAAAUUACCCACUGUGGACUCCACGAGGUAGUGACGAGAAAUAUCGAUGCGAAGCGUGUAUGCGUUUUGCUAUCGGAAUGAGAGCAAUGUAAAACCCUCAUCGAGGAUCAACUGGAGGGCAAGUCUGGUGCCAGCAGCCGCGGUAAUUCCAGCUCCAGAAGCAUAUGCUAAAGUUGUUGCAGUUAAAAAGCUCGUAGUUGAAUUUCUGGCAUGGGCGACCGGUGCUUUCCCUGAAUGGGGAUUGAUUGUCUGUGUUGCCUUGGCCAUCUUUUUCUUUUCUUUAUNGGGGAGAAAUCUUUCACUGUAAUCAAAGCAGAGUGUUCCAAGCAGGUCGUAUGACCGGUAUGUUUAUUAUGGGAUGAUAAGAUAGGACUUGGGUGCUAUUUUGUUGGUUUGCACGCCUGAGUAAUGGUUAAUAGGAACAGUUGGGGGUAUUCGUAUUUAGGAGCUAGAGGUGAAAUUCUUGGAUUUCCGAAAGACGAACUAGAGCGAAGGCAUUUACCAAGCAUGUUUUCAUUAAUCAAGAACGAAAGUCUGGGGAUCGAAAAUGAUUAGAUACCAUCGUAGUCUANACCGUAAACGAUGCCNACUUGCGAUUGUUGGGUGCUUUUUUAUGGG